rnacentral:tRNA from 1 species
AGUAAGAAAAUUAAAUAUAUCUUGAAAAUAUAAAAAAAAGAAAAAAUAUCUUUUCUUACUU